rnacentral:tRNA from 1 species
AGGGAUGUGGCUCAGUGGUAGAGCACUUGCCUACCAUGUGUGAGGCCCUGGGUUGGAUCCCCAGCACCACAA